UGGGGAAUAUUGCACAAUGGAGGGAACUCUGAUGCAGCGACGCCGCGUGAACGAAGAAGGCUUUCGUGUCGUAAAGUUCUUUUAUAUGGGAAGAUAAUGACGGUACCAUAAGAAAAAGCCCCGGCUAACUACGUGCCAGCAGCCGCGGUAAUACGUAGGGGGCUAGCGUUGUCCGGAAUCACUGGGCGUAAAGGGUUCGCAUGCGGAAAUGCAAGUCAGGUGUAAAAGGCAGUAGCGUAACUACUGUAAGCAUUGGACAGUGCAUAUCUUGAGAAGAGUAGAGGUAGGUGGAAUUUUUUGUGUAGCGGUGAAUUGCGUAGAUAUUAAAAAGAAUGCCGGUGGCGAAGGCGGCUUACUGGGCGCAUUCUGGCGCUGAGGAACGAAAGCGUGGGUAGCGAACAGG
rnacentral:rRNA from 1 species